GUCAGACUAGCUAGUUGGUGAGGUACGGCUUACCAAGGCGACGAUCUGUAGCGGGUCUGAGAGGAUGAUCCGCCACACUGGAACUGAGACACGGUCCAGACUCCUACGGGAGGCAGCAGGUGGGGAAUUUUGGACAAUGAGCGCAAGCCUGAUCCAGCCAUGCCGCGUGAGUGAAGAAGGCCUUCGGGUUGUAAAGCUCUUUCGGCCGGGAAGAAAUCGCAUGGGUUAAUACCCUGUGUGGAUGACGGUACCGGAAUAAGAAGCACCGGCUAACUACGUG
rnacentral:rRNA from 1 species